AAAAUAAAUCUCAAUACGGAUAACUGUAAUCAGUGUUACAAGUACUGCACGCACAUCUUCUGUCCGUUUUUGUAGCAUAAAUCCCAUAAAAACAAUGUAAGCAUCAGAUCUUCCAGUGUUUCUCUAUGGCACUGAAACCUUCAGAUGUCUGAGUUCCACUCCUUGUGCAACUGAUACUCGACUGCCAUUGGCUCAUCUGCGUUUGAGGGGAGGGGCUUAUCAAUAGGUCAACUGAGAUGUGUGCGAUCUUCCUGUUGGUCACCUGACCUCUCCAGAUUCAACAUCACAACAUCCAUAAAGCGACAGUCAUACCAUUAUCUGCAUUAUCAUAUACAUUAUAAAAAGACUAAAUACAACAAUAAAAUAAAUGCAUAUAUGUAAAAUAUUUCAAAUGCCUUGUCAAAAAAUAACAUCUCAAUAAAUAAAUAAGAAACUCAGUAAAGAUUUAUUGUACCAUGCCAAUGAAAAAUAAAUAAUAAAUUCAAAUUUGCCUUUUUUAUGUGUUUAUUACUUAAAAUGUUUACAAUAAACGUUUGUUCUAACCAGCGUCUCUCUCUCUGUGCUUGCGGCAGGAAACUCUUCAGGGUGAGCAUACAACGAGUUAUAUUUCUAAACAAUAAAAUAUGGUGAGGAGAGAAGUACUUGUUGCUGCCAAGCUGUAUCUGGAGGCAGAGAAGGAGGCGGUGAGUUUAAAGUGUUUCGGGGGACAGAGAAGUGCCAGGAUGAGGACGAGACUAGCCUUCUGGCAUCCGUCAUCCUUAAUUCAGUGAGCAGAUUUGUCGUUAGCAACUACUCAUGCAUCGUACCAGAUGCAUUUGCAAUGCCAACAGGGUUGUGCACAAUGUGAUCGAGGACAUGUUGACAGUCCUCCACAGAAUAAUUCACUUCCCAGGUCCACAGGAGAUGGAGGAGGUGGGAGAAGGCUUCGCCUGCCUGACUGGAUGCAACGCGUUCAAAAACGUUACAAUUGACGGAUCCCAUAUCCGGAUUCGCCAACUGCUGGACAACAGAAGAAGUGUUAUAUCAACAGAAAAGCUGUUUUUAUCAAUUAUACUUUAAGCAAUCAGUGAGUACCAGGAAAUUCCUUGAUAUCUCUCUGCACUUCUCUCCCUGUUAAAGACGUAAAGCACGUACAGCACGAGCUGCUGAGGAGGCGUUUAUGCACUACUUUACUUGUACAAGUAUUUCCACAUUCUACAUAGCACAGCCUGGGAGUUUACGGUCAGUAG
ensembl:lncRNA